AAACUUUCAACAACGGAUCUCUUGGUUCUGGCAUCGAUGAAGAACGCAGCGAAAUGCGAUAAGUAAUGUGAAUUGCAGAAUUCAGUGAAUCAUCGAAUCUUUGAACGCACAUUGCGCCCCUUGGUAUUCCGAGGGGUAUACCUGUUCGAGCGUCAUU
rnacentral:rRNA from 1 species